rnacentral:rRNA from 1 species
UACGUAGGGUGCGAGCGUUAAUCGGAAUUACUGGGCGUAAAGCGUGCGCAGGCGGUUUUGUAAGCCAGAUGUGAAAUCCCCGGGCUUAACCUGGGAAUGGCAUUUGGGACUGCAAGGCUGGGAGUGCGGCAGAGGAGACUGGAAUUCCUGGUGUAGCAGUGAAAUGCGUAGAGAUCAGGAGGAAUACCGAUGGCGAAGGCAGGUCUCUGGGCUGAUACUGACGCUCAUGCACGAAAGCGUGGGGAGCAAACAGG